CCUACGGGAGGCAGCAGUAGGGAAUCUUGCGCAAUGGGCGAAAGCCUGACGCAGCCAUGCCGCGUGAAUGAUGAAGGUCUUAGGAUUGUAAAAUUCUUUCACCGGGGAAGAUAAUGACGGUACCCGGAGAAGAAGCCCCGGCUAACUUCGUGCCAGCAGCCGCGGUAAUACGAAGGGGGCUAGCGUUGCUCGGAAUUACUGGGCGUAAAGGGCGCGUAGGCGGACAGUUUAGUCAGAGGUGAAAGCCCAGGGCUCAACCUUGGAAUUGCCUUUGAUACUGGCUGCCUUGAGUUCGGGAGAGGUGAGUGGAAUGCCGAGUGUAGAGGUGAAAUUCGUAGAUAUUCGGCGGAACACCAGUGGCGAAGGCGACUCACUGGCCCGAUACUGACGCUGAGGCGCGAAAGCGUGGGGAGCAAACAGGAUUAGAUACCCUGGUAGUCCACGCUGUAAACGAUGAGUGCUAGUUGUCGGCAUGCAUGCAUGUCGGUGACGCAGCUAACGCAUUAAGCACUCCGCCUGGGGAGUACGGUCGCAAGAUUAAAACUCAAAGGAAUUGACGG
rnacentral:rRNA from 1 species